rnacentral:lncRNA from 1 species
GAGCCUGGAGAGGCUUCUGGUCCUGGGGGUGGUGCCCUGAAUGUGGAGUCGCAAAACCCUAACACCUGUUCCAGAUCUGCGGGGCAGCAUCAGAUAAGCAAACUAAGGCUUGGAGAGCUGAGAGCUGAGAUCACAGGCCGAGGCUGUAAGAGGGAAGGUGGGACCAGAAAGAAUCCACAUUGCUCUCACCACCUCAAGAACUCUGAGGGCUGUGCUCACCGCUGUUCUGAAGCAUCACUUCCGCUCUGAAGAUCAGGGCAGCCCGAUUUCCCACGCGAGAGCGGAUAGGUACUGUUCCAACAUUCAACAAUUCCAUGUUAGAAAUACACUUGAAUUUGCACGCUGGAAAUUUUGAGAGGUAGUGGGGCCCCUGUGCCUGGAGUUGGGAGCACCUGAGCUGAGGAAGUGUAGAUAUGAAAAAGGACACGUGAGGACCGCUGAGCGGUUGGCGUAAAUGAAUCACCAUGUUACUUUUACGUUUUAAUAGCAGGAAAACGUCUUCUCUUCUCAGGCCCUCUUGUUAGGUUGGAGGACUAAGGUAGGCGGGCACAUGUGGGUUACAGUGAUGUGUGUCAGAGCAAGACAGUGCUGCCGCUCCCAGUGCAGGGGUGCCAGCCUCCUGGACACUUCCUGGCUUGUUCACAAGCUCUUUGCAAUCAGAAAGCCGCAGCACCGACCCACAGGGCUGCCCAAGACCCUGGGGCACAACUUUCUUCAGAUCUUGUUUCUUUUUUAUUUAUUUUUUUCUGUUUUUUUAGGGCUGCCCCUGGGAUCUGAGCCAUGUCUGUGACCUACCCCACAGCUCACGACCAUGCUGGAUCCUUAACCAACUGAGCAAGGAGAGGGAUCGACCCCUCACCCUCCUGGAUACUAGUGGUUGGGUUCAUUACCGCCGAGCCACGACAGGAACUUCUCUUUAGUUCUUGUUUCAUUCAUUCAUUCAUUCAUUCAUUCAUUUACUUAUUUAUUAUGGCCCCAGAGUGGCUUAUGGAAGUUCCUCGGCCAGGGGCCUGAAUCCACAGCCACGCCAGAUCCUUUAACCCACUGCUCCGGGAUGGGAAUUGAACCCACGCCUCUGCAGUGACUGGAGCUGCUGCAGUCGGAUUCUUAACCCACUGUGUCACAGCAGAAACUCCUUGUUUCCUUGAUUUAAGUCCUCUUGUCUCCCCUCAUGACCGGCAGAGCUCUUCCUCCUGCUGCCCUGACCUGCUUCGAGGUCAGAUGCUAUGACACCUCCUCCAGGAAGCCCUUCCUGGUUUCCACUGCCUGCAGAGACCCCAGUCUUCGGAAAGUCCCAGAGCCUGCCUCUCAGAGCCUCUCGUCUGGCUUUCAGGGUGCAAAGCCCCUCCUCCCAAAGGUGCCAUGUCCCCACAGGGCACUCCCGCCCAGUUCAGCCUCCGCCCUGGCCCCUGUGAGACUCCCCAGCACCAGCAGGAUAAAUCACCCUCUUCUCUGGGCUAGGCUGGGCCUUUGGGUUUGUUCUGUUGCCCCCUCGUUCCGCAUCUGCCUCCUGCGGGCUGGUCAUCACGCAGACGGGAUUGAAGAAGGCAUGUCCCCCCGGCCUCCCUCUCAGGGUGGAGCAGCCAUCAUUCCUGGUGCUCAGCUGCCCGGAAGUCUCCCUUUCAUCCUCAUGAUGGUUAAUUUCAUGUGUCCACUUGCCUGGGCUAAGGGAUGUCCAGACAGCUGGUCACACAUCACUUCUGGGUGUGUCUGUGUGGAAGGUUCCAGAAGAGAGGAGCACUGGAAUCGAUGGACUGAGUGAAGAAGUAGAUGGGCAUCACCCGUUCCCCGAGGACGCAAACAGAACAUAAAGAUGAGCCACGUGCUCUCUGAGCUGGGACCUCCGCCUUCUGCUUUUGGGCAUCACGCUUCUAAGCUCCGCAGAACUUUAGACCCAGACUGAAUUCUACCACCCACUUUCCUGCUUCUCCAGCUUGCAGAUGACAGACUGCGGGGGUUUGGAGCCUCAUAAUUGCAGGAACUAAUUCUUGUACUAAAUGUAUAUAAAAUGUAUGUUUAUAUAGAAAA